rnacentral:rRNA from 1 species
UACGGGGGGGGCAAGCGUUGUUCGGAAUUACUGGGCGUAAAGGGCUCGUAGGUGGCCAACUAAGUCAGACGUGAAAUCCCUCGGCUUAACCGGGGAACUGCGUCUGAUACUGGAUGGCUAGAGAUUGGGAGAGGGAUGCGGAAUUCCAGGUGUAGCGGUGAAAUGCGUAGAUAUCUGGAGGAACACCGGUGGCGAAGGCGGCAUCCUGGACCGGCAUUGACGCUGAGGCGCGAAAGCCAGGGGAGCAAACGGG